AUACCUUGCUCGGUCUUUUGGUCAAGAUUAAGUGUAGUAUCUGUUCUUAUCAGUUUAAUAUUUAAUAUGUGGGCCAUGUGCCUAUUUCGAUAUUAAAUUUAUUUUUUGUGGGGGAGGGCUCACCACAGUGGCUUGCCACUGGGGCCCUCGAGCGUUGCCCAGCCGUUGCACUGCUGGCAGGUCCUGGCGCGCCCCAA